rnacentral:rRNA from 1 species
GAUGAACGCUGGCGGCGUGCCUAAUACAUGCGAGUCGAGCGAACAGACGAGGAGCUUGCUCCUCUGACGUUAGCGGCGGACGGGUGAGUAACACGUGGAUAACCUACCUAUAAGACUGGGAUAACUUCGGGAAACCGGAGCUAAUACCGGAUAAUAUAUUGAACCGCAUGGUUCAAUAGUGAAAGACGGUUUUGCUGUCACUUAUAGAUGGAUCCGCGCCGCAUUAGCUAGUUGGUAAGGUAACGGCUUACCAAGGCAACGAUGCGUAGCCGACCUGAGAGGGUGAUCGGCCACACUGGAACUGAGACACGGUCCAGACUCCUACGGGAGGCAGCAGUAGGGAAUCUUCCGCAAUGGGCGAAAGCCUGACGGAGCAACGCCGCGUAAGUGAUGAAGGUCUUCGGAUCGUAAAACUCUGUUAUUAGGGAAGAACAAAUGUGUAAGUAACUAUGCACGUCUUGACGGUACCUAAUCAGAAAGCCACGGCUAACUACGUG